rnacentral:rRNA from 1 species
AAACUUUCAACAAUGGAUCUCUUGGCUCUGGCAUCGAUGAAGAACGCAGCGAAAUGCGAUAAGUAGUGUGAAUUGCAGAAUUUAGUGAAUCAUCGAAUCUUUGAACGCACAUUGCGCCCUUUGGUAUUCCUUGGGGCAUGCCUGUUCGAGCGUCAUUU